AACGAACGCUGGCGGCAUGCCUAACACAUGCAAGUCGAACGAGACCUUCGGGUCUAGUGGCGCACGGGUGCGUAACGCGUGGGAACCUGCCCUUAGGUUCGGAAUAACUCUCCGAAAGGGGUGCUAAUACCGGAUAAUGUCUUCGGACCAAAGAUUUAUUGCCUUUGGUUGGUCCCGCGUUGGAUUAGCUAGUUGGUAGGGUAAAAGCCUACCAAGGCGACGAUCCAUAGCUGGUCUGAGAGGAUGGUCAGCCACACUGGGACUGAGACACGGCCCAGACUCCUACGGGAGGCAGCAGUGGGGAAUAUUGGACAAUGGGCGAAAGCCUGAUCCAGCAAGGCCGCGUGAGUGAUGAAGGCCUUAGGGUUGUAAAGCUCUUUUACCCGGGAUGAUAAUGACAGUACCGGGAGAAUAAGCUCCGGCUAACUCCGUG
rnacentral:rRNA from 1 species